AUUGAACGCUGGCGGCAGGCCUAACACAUGCAAGUCGAGCGAGCGGCGGACGGGUGAGUAAUGUCUGGGAAACUGCCUGAUGGAGGGGGAUAACUACUGGAAACGGUAGCUAAUACCACAUACUAUCAGAUGUGCCCAGAUGGGAUUAGCUAGUGGGUGGGGUAAUGGCUCACCAAGGCGACGAUCCCUAGCUGGUCUGAGAGGAUGACCAGCCACACUGGGACUGAGACACGGCCCAGACUCCUACGGGAGGCAGCAGUGGGGAAUAUUGCACAAUGGGCGCAAGCCUGAUGCAGCCAUGCCGCGUGUGUGAAGAAGGCCUUAGGGUUGUAAAGCACUUUCAGUCGGGAGGCGUUACCCGCAGAAGAAGCACCGGCUAACUCCGUGCCAGCAGCCGCGGUAAUAC
rnacentral:rRNA from 1 species